CCAAAAAAUAAAAGUGAUCACAACAAUCUCUCCUCUGUAAAAAACAGAAAACCUAGAAAGAAUUUCGAAGAAAAGAUGGAGGACAGACACCAAAAUACAAAGAAAGAGACUGACAAUUCAGAUUUGAAAAGGGACCAAUGUGUUGUAGUAAAUAUAGAUUCCAGGUCAGAUGCCUUUUCACAAGAUACAUAUCUAUCAUCAGAAGACAAUUCUUCCUUAUCAAAAGACUCUGCUGAAACUUCAGAAUCUGCACAUUCUCCUGUAUUAAAUCACUCUCCAUUUUUUACUGAUGAAAGUAAGGGUAGUACUGCAGCUGAUGAAUACAUAACUAAUAAUAUACUGAACUUUGUUCAUUGUUCUGAAGAUGAUUUGAUCAGCUUUACCUUUGAAGUUUGCAAAACUGA